UUAGUAGAGUAUUCAGCCAGCCGUCCUGUCCCAGUCCGUUAGUAGAGUAUUCAGUCAGCCGUCCUGUCCCAGUCCGUUAGUAGAGUAUUCAGUCAGCCGUCCUGUCCCAGUCCGUUAGUAGAGUAUUCAGCCAGCCGUCCUGUCCCAAUCCGUUAGUAGAGUAUUCAGCCAGCCGUCCUGUCCCAAUCCGUUAGUAGAGUAUUCAGCCAGCAGUCCUGUCCCAGUCCGUUAGUAGAGUAUUCAGCCAGCCGUCCUGUCCCAAUCCGUUAGUAGAGUAUUCAGCCAGCCGUCCUGUCCCAGUCCGUUAGUAGAGUAUUCAGCCAGCCGUCCUGUCCCAGUCCGUUAGUAGAGUAUUCAGCCAGCCGUCCUGUCCCAAUCCGUUAGUAGAGUAUUCAGUCAGCCGUCCUGUCCCAAUCCGUUAGUAGAGUAUUCAGCCAGCCGUCCUGUCCCAAUCCGUUAGUAGAGUAUUCAGCCAGCCGUCCUGUCCCAAUCCUAUAGUAUUCAGCCAGCCGCCCUGUCCCAGUCUGUUAGUAGAGUAUUCAGCCAGCUGUCCUGUCCCAGUCCGUUAGUAGAGUAUUCAGCCAGCCGUCCUGUCCCAGUCCGUUAGUAGAGUAUUCAGCCAGCCGUCCUGUCCCAGUCCAUUAGUAAAGUAUUCAGCCAGCCGUCCUGUCCCAGUCCGUUAGUAUUCAGCCAGCCGUCCUGUCCCAAUCCGUUAGUAGAGUAUUCAGCCAGCCGUCCUGUCCCAAUCCGUUAGUAGAGUAUUCAGCCAGCCGUCCUGUCCCAAUCC
rnacentral:lncRNA from 1 species